UACGGAGGGGGCUAGCGUUGUUCGGAAUUACUGGGCGUAAAGCGCACGUAGGCGGCUUUGUAAGUUAGAGGUGAAAGUCCGGAGCUCAACUCCGGAAUUGCCUUUAAGACUGCAUCGCUUGAAUCAUGGAGAGGUGAGUGGAAUUCCGAGUGUAGAGGUGAAAUUCGUAGAUAUUCGGAAGAACACCAGUGGCGAAGGCGACUCACUGGACAUGUAUUGACGCUGAGGUGCGAAAGCGUGGGGAGCAAACAGG
rnacentral:rRNA from 1 species